GCUGGGGAAGGGGGGUGCGCGGCCGAGGGGCUGGACAGGACCCGACAGGAGCUGUCGAGCUAAAGGCAAACAACCGAUCCCGUUCCCGUGAACAAAUCCGCCCGUCUGCCGGCUCGAUUCCACGCAUUUUGUCCACAUCUUUCUUGAAGUGUCUCACCCAAAGUGGACACAGUACUCCAGCUGAGGCCUCAUCAGUGAGGAGUAGAAUUGAACAGUUAGCUCCCAUGUCUUUCAUAUGAUGCUCCUGUUAAUGCAUCCCAAAAACUAGAAGAUGGCAAAUUGAAAACUGAUAAAAGGAAGUAUUUUCGUACAAUGCAGUAAGAAGAAAGAAGUGUUCUUACAUCUGGAAGAGCCUAU